rnacentral:rRNA from 1 species
AUUGAACGCUGGCGGCAUGCCUUACACAUGCAAGUCGAACGGUAACAGGUCUUCGGAUGCUGACGAGUGGCGAACGGGUGCGUAAUACAUCGGAACGUGCCCAGACGUGGGGGAUAACGAGGCGAAAGCUUUGCUAAUACCGCAUACGAUCUAAGGAUGAAAGCAGGGGACCGCACGGCCUUGUGCGUUUGGAGCGGCCGAUGGCAGAUUAGGUAGUUGGUGGGAUAAAAGCUUACCAAGCCGACGAUCUGUAGCUGGUCUGAGAGGACGACCAGCCACACUGGGACUGAAACACGGCCCAGACUCCUACGGGAGGCAGCAGUGGGGAAUUUUGGACAAUGGGCGAAAGCCUGAUCCAGCAAUGCCGCGUGCAGGAUGAAGGCCUUCGGGUUGUAAACUGCUUUUGUACGGAACGAAAAGGCUCUGGCUAAUACCUGGGGCACAUGACGGUACCGUAAGAAUAAGCACCGGCUAACUACGUG